rnacentral:lncRNA from 1 species
AGAAAACCUGAUGUCUUAUAUCCAGCUGCUCUUAAGAAAGAGUCUUUCUGGAGCAGACAGCGAGGGGAGCUGCACUCAGCCACUGGAAUGCAGGUGACAGCUGAUGGGCACAGGACCUCAGGUGCAGCCUUAAGUAUGUUCUGUUCCAUUUGCAGAAAGUUCAGAAAGCCUCAGCCUUUCCUCAGAAAACCUGGAAGAUGCAAUGCCCUGGCUGAUUUGGACUUGUAUGCCUUACCUGUGAGCAAGUCAUCUCCUGGGAACACCUCUAAUUUUUAAGAUUCCAAUGAUGCCACCACCUGACAUGUUUUUAACCACACAGUCCCAGGAUCCAGGCCAUGGGAUGCUUGCUAAUGGGGCCUUGGGGAGCUGAAUUUAGAGGCUGAGUAUCCUCUGAUGGGGUCAGGGAGGAAAGGAUUUGGUUGCACCUCCAGCUUGCACAGGGCUCCCGACCAGCCCGGCCCAGCCUCCUCUGUACUAUGCUCUAGCUUAUGAGGCCUCCUGGUUCCACCCACCACCUGGCAGGGCCAACCUCUUUGUUCUCCUUGCCUCGUGGGGAUAAGGAGAACCUCACUAAGUCAUCCAGUUCGAGGAGACCCAGAUGUGGAGUCAGCCCCCAUUCUACUCUGCCACCCCACCCUCCCCACCUGGGGGAGUGACAAUCUCUGGGACCUGAACUCGGUGACUCCACCUAACCCCAAACUUCAAGAACAUCGGUGGCUGAGAGCCCAGGAUCUCCUUCCCACAAAGCCACAUGUUCUACUAGCCAGACUUGGGGUCUGAGGUUUGAGAGACAGUCGCUCUGCCCUCUCAGGUCACCACUCCAACUUUCCUCCAGCCGUCCCUUUUUCCUACCCACGGCCCUGUGCUUAUUCAGGCCCAAAGCCAGGGAGACCACAGGUCAGGAUCUCACAAGUAUUGCAAUCCUAGUGCAUUCUUGUCCUAUGUAAAAUUUUCGAUCUUUUCCUAAAACCGAUUUAUUUUCCGUUUUAUUAUCCUGAAAUGUAAUUGGUCUUCUCCUCUUUCAAGUAUAGCUAUUCACUAGCCCAUACUUAUAAACUUGUACCCUUCAGAAAGGAUUUCUUGUUCUCUUUCUUGUAUUUUCUCAUUUUACCUUGAAAGUGCAGCCUUAUCUUCUGUAUUCCCACAGGCAGUGCUGAGAACACCCAAUAAGGUGCACCCAACAGAAACAUUUUAUGCUGUUUGUCAGUUGCUUGUUUGGGGAGAAGGGGCCACAGAUGGGUAAAUUUUCUUGGCUUUUCUUGCUUAACUACACGUAACUUUCUAGGGUGGGUUUUCAUUAUAACAUGAAUCUCUGCAAACAUUUUUAGGCACCAGCCAGCAAAGAUACAUACACUGUCUUCUCUUCUCCCUUUUGCACAGUGAUCUUGGUGGCACCCACUUUGGGGAGGGUUGGAUUUAUCACAUUGUUAUUCCAAAGAAACUUGACUUUCUCAAUUGUUCCAACAUCCAGCUUUGCAUCAAACUCAUAGGAAUGGGUUGAGCCUGGUUUGAGAAUCCCCCUUGAAAUAGAGAAACAUAAACAUCCCUGUUCAC